rnacentral:rRNA from 1 species
AUGGCUGCUUGUGUUAAUCUUGAAGAUGCACUUAACCGUGGAGAACAUACAGAUACUGACGGCCCUGGAUUGUUUUGCGAACUAAUGUUUGUCCAGGAUUCACUUCAGAAAUCUAUGGGUCCUCUUAACAUUCUCAACUAUUUGAAGAAGCGCUCCACAAUCUAUCCUAAUGAUGUUAUUACAUACAUAGUUUUGUUGACCAUUCCUGUGACUGUUGCGUCUGCAGAAAGGAGUUUUCUUAAAUUCAAGUUGUUGAAAUCCUACUUGUGUUCUACUAUGACACAAGAAAGGCUCAAUGGAUUGGCGACACUAGCACUUGAAAAUGAUGUCUUGGAGAAGAUAAAUUACGAAGAUAUGAUUGAAGACUUUAUUUCAAGAAAUACUAGACAUAUGCUACUUUUUGGUAGAACAUGA